AUUCUGUACGUAGUCGAGGUAGGGGAGACUAUUAUUUUUGUUAGUUGAUGUGCAAAUUGAGGGUUUUCCUUAUAAUCUUUGUGAUGGAAGUAAUUGUUGAUUUGUGGUUGAUGUUUGGAUGCAAUAAGGAAAAGAUCGUGAGACGGUUGGUUCUCCAACGAUUUAAGUUCUUAUUAAGUUACUGUUCUAUUCAGAGGUACUGGAAUACGUGGUUUUUGAGCCUACAUCGAAAUUUGAUAAGGUGAUCUUCUGACAUAAGAUCGAACGACGUGCGGGAGCUCGAGUUGUUACUCAGUUAAUUAAAAAAUGGUGAUUUUCGUAAUUACCUAUUUUCUAUUUUUGGGGAUUGUAAUCUGUUUUUGGUUUGUUUUGGUUUUUGUUUAAAUCGUCG